UAUUGAAUGUGGUACCUCCUUGUGAAAAAGACCUAACAAAACAUAUAUGCAUACAUUAUCUUUUGAAUAAAUUUGGCUUAUUCGUGAAAAUCAAUAAUUUCAUUUCUUUCUUUUGUUUUCCUUGGACACACGUCCUAUAUAUGCAAUAAUUGAUCUCCAAAGCUUGUAGCUUUUGACUACAAGUAUAAAUUUCUCAGAAGUUGCAGUCAAUAUUUAACACCAUGAAUCUCAUAUACAGCCACCUAAUGUGCAAGAUUAACUCCUCUAAGGAAUAUUUGAAUCUUUGAUCUGCUUGUGUUGUUUGUGUUGAAUAAUACUUGUGAGUUGCACUAUGUUUUAUGGUAUCAUGGCUUACAUACGCAGAUCUAUUUCUGGCUUGAAAGUAUUAAAUAUAUAAUCUAUGGAUAAAUUAGUUUUUUUGUCAUUAAUUUGGUUGUUAUCAAUGUUUCAUUUCCGUUUGUUUGCAAGGUAUGUGAUGUUGCUAAGGUCUUGAGUGACAGAAUUGCUGUCUUUUAAUUUGGUUGGUUCUUUUGAGAUCUAUCCUCUUGCCUUGAAGAUAGUGCUUUAAUAUUUUCUUUCAUGUGCUGUUCUUGUCAAUUUACUUUGUUUAUGCAUUCUUUUUUACUCAUGUCUUGUUGUUUAUUCAUAACCCAUGAUUUUGAAUUUUCUUUAUAUUCUUUUUUAAAUUAAUUAGGUUUUAAUCCUUAGUGAUAGAUCAUCUUGAAACAGAAAAUGCUACUUAGAAUAAUAAAGGAAGUUGAAUUAAUUGCUGCCUUCCUUCUCCUGUCUCUCCACCUCCCAAAAGAUGAUAAUUUUCAUAAGAAUUGGUGUUUAAUUAGGGAUGGAAUAGUGAUUUUCUUUUUUCGGUUGGAAGUCAUAAUUGUGAUCAUGAGAUGGGAGUGACUGAAAUAUGCAUGAAAUAUAUGACUAGAUCAAAUAGUGAACCAACAUAUGAUAUGAGUGAAGAAAUUCUAGAAAUGUAUAGAGCUUAGAUCUGGCAGGGAAUAAAUGACUUUUCUUCUGGUUUUCAUCUUCAUUACAAUUGAGGAAAUUAAAGAUUACAAGUGACAACAUACUCUCUCAGAGAAAAUCCAUUUUUAGUAAAUUUCCCUUGUGCAUGAAAAAAGUGCAUAGAAGGACCCAUAUCUAUUUUCUCAUUUUAGAUCCAAAUCAAACAUCUUUUUAGAGGAUUUUGAAGCCUACAGGAAUUCAGCUUCUAUAGUUAUACAUACCCUCUCCAUGAAACAAAGCUAGUAAGGAGCAUCUGCAUUUCAUUUCCACAUUAUCCAUUAAAUGUAAAACCAGUUUGUGAGGACCAUCUCUUUCCAACUCAAGUAAAUUCAUCAAUAACUUAAUCCUAAUUUACUUGGGAUAUAUUAUACCUUCCAUUAACACUUGUUCAUAAUAAGCUUCUCAUCACUUCAACAAACAUUAUAUUCUAUUUAUUGAAAAAAAAAAAGAGAAAAAACUGACAUCAACUGCAACCCUCCACUUAAUCACAAGAGGAUUCUUGUGAGUUGUGAGGACCAUCUGGGUGUCUACACAAACUGCCCUACUGGUCCUGGCUAUAUAUCCUUUUAAGUUUCUGCUCAAGCACUAGCCUACAAUGCAAACUUGGUACAUGUAUCAAAUGUGGUACCAUCCUUGUAAAUCAAAUGUGGAACCUCCUUGUAAAAUAGACAUAACAAAUUAAACAUAUAUGCAUCCAUUUGAUGUGGGUUUUAUAAUUCUGAACAUUAUCUUUUGGAACGACUUUCGUCUUUCUCCAAGUUGAAAUGGAUGACGAUUUCUAUGGUCAGAAUACAUCACAACAAAAGAAUGGCUCUCUCUAUCUAUAGUAUUUAGCUCAUUUAAUGCAUAAAUCCAUAAUUCCACCGUUUCUUUAAUUCUUUUGUUUUUUUAGACGCUCAUUAACUAUUCAAUGUUUGAUUCCCUAAGCUUGUAGCUUCUGAUUAUAAUUAUGAAUUUCCCAAAAGUUCACAGUGCCUAAUGUGCAAGGCUUGCUAACUCCUUUAAGGAAUAAUUGAAUCUCUGAUAUGCUUGUGUUAUUUAUAUAUGAUAAUACUAGUGAGUUGCAGUAUUUGUGUUAUCUAAUGUCAGGGUUUGAACUCCUAAAAAAUGCAGAUCUAUAUUUCUCGCUUGAAAUUAUAUGAUUUAUGGAUUUAUGGAAAACUUAUAUAUCAGUUUUUUCUCAUUAAUUUUGGUUGUUACAGUAAAUGUUUCAUUUCCGUUUGUUUACAAGCCUGAGUUAGCUAGACUCCAAGAAACCUUCACAAGAUUCCUGAAGCCGGCCACCUAUAGGAAACGUCAGCUGAUUGAGUUGGGCUAUGUCUUUUUAUGGGAUUUUCUUUUUUUGUCACGAUCUUUCAAGUGGGGUUUGUUACGUGCCAUCAAUAUUUAAUGGGGCUUUUCAGACGAUGAAGUGUCAAGUGAAGUAACCCUAGAAGGCGUUUCUUGACUUUUUUUGGGGUGGCUAAGCUUAUAUCAAUCACUUAUCAUCGUUUGAUAGAUAUUGGGGCUGCCAUGGGACUUUUUGAGUGGUCUCGGAUCAUGGAUAUUUGAAGCAAGAAGAAGUAUAAGCUUUAUUAGCAUAAUAUUUUUUGUACUGAUCUUGAGAGUGAUAUCAAAUUUCAAUGACUUCACGAGAAAUUUUAUAAUAAUUUAAUUCAAUUAAUUUAUUUUUAUCAAUUCUCGUGUUUGGAAAGAAAUAAUUCAAUUCCUUGUAACUUUAAAAUAAAUUUUAUUUUAAAAAAAUAAAAAUUAAGCAUGAUUAUACGAGAUCUCAAUUGAAUUCUUUCCUUGCAAGUAAUUUAUACCAAACAAAAUCUAUAGGAUUGGUAUUUCUUUAUAUGUAGUAUUCGAUAACAUUAGAAAAUAGAAGAGAAUCAAAUAUGAGAGAGGUGAAGAGAAAUUGGAGGAAGUAUCCCUUUUAAAAUAAAGACGAUAUUCUGUUUCCUUGAUGUUCAUGCAUAGAGGGUCAAACUCAAAACAUUUAACAGAGUUAGUAUAAUCUAACGAGCGCUGCCAUCCCAAAUCCCCUUCUAGAAGAAUAUGCUCAACAAUUCCUUAACAACUAACUUGUAAAACCCUCCAAAUGAAUUCAUCCUACAAUCAAGUACAUCACCUCAUCAAAGUCAAUAACCCUCCACAAACCCCUUCCCCCUUCUUCCCCCCCCCACUCACAAAAAAAAAAAAGAACAGAGAAACAAAUGAAAGAACCAGGUCCCACCAAAU
rnacentral:misc_RNA from 1 species